rnacentral:rRNA from 1 species
CCAACAGGGUAUUGCCCCAGUAACGGCGAGUGAAGCGGCAACAGCUCAAAUUUGAAAUCUGGAGUCGUUCUGGCUUCCGAGUUGUAAUUUGCAGAGGGUGUCUCGGAGGGCGGGUCGGUCCAAGUGCCUUGGAACAGGAUACCAAAGAGGGUGAGAGUCCCGUAUCCGGCCGAUUUCGCGCUCCGUGUGAGACCCCUUCGACGAGUCGAGUUGUUUGGGAAUGCAGCGUCUAAGCGGGUGGUAAAUUCCAUCUAAAGCUAAAUACCGGCCAGAGACCGAUAGCGAACAAGUAGAGUGAUCGAAAGAUGAAAAGCACUUUGAAAAGAGAGUCAAACAGUACGUGAAAUUGUUGAAAGGGAAGCGCAU